rnacentral:rRNA from 1 species
GUUUGAUCCUGGCUCAGGAUGAACGCUGGCGGCGUGCUUAACACAUGCAAGUCGAACGAGCCUUCGGGCUAGUGGCGGACGGGUGAGUAACGCGUGAGAAUCCGCCCUCAGGAGGGGGAUAACGGCUGGAAACGGCCGCUAAUACCCCAUAUGCCGCGAGGUGAAAUGAGAAAUCGCCUGAGGAUGAGCUCGCGUCUGAUUAGCUAGUUGGUGGGGUAAGAGCCUACCAAGGCAUCGAUCAGUAGCUGGUCUGAGAGGAUGAUCAGCCACACUGGGACUGAGACACGGCCCAGACUCCUACGGGAGGCAGCAGUGGGGAAUUUUCCGCAAUGGGCGCAAGCCUGACGGAGCAACGCCGCGUGAGGGAUGAAGGCCUCUGGGCUGUAAACCUCUUUUCUCAAGGAAGAAGAACUGACGGUACUUGAGGAAUAAGCCACGGCUAAUUCCGUGCCAGCAGCCGCGGUAAUACGGGAGUGGCAAGCGUUAUCCGGAAUUAUUGGGCGUAAAGCGUCCGCAGGCGGUCUUGAAAGUCUGUUGUUAAAGCGUGGAGCUCAACUCCAUUUCAGCAAUGGAAACUAGAAGACUAGAGUGUGGUAGGGGCAGAGGGAAUUCCCGGUGUAGCGGUGAAAUGCGUAGAUAUCGGGAAGAACACCAGUGGCGAAGGCGCUCUGCUGGGCCAUAACUGACGCUCAUGGACGAAAGCCAGGGGAGCGAAAGGGAUUAGAUACCCCUGUAGUCCUGGCCGUAAACGAUGAACACUAGGUGUCGGGGGAAUCGACCCCCUCGGUGUCGUAGCCAACGCGUUAAGUGUUCCGCCUGGGGAGUACGCACGCAAGUGUGAAACUCAAAGGAAUUGACGGGGGCCCGCACAAGCGGUGGAGUAUGUGGUUUAAUUCGAUGCAACGCGAAGAACCUUACCAGGGUUUGACAUCCUGCGAAUCUUUUGGAAACAGAAGAGUGCCUUCGGGAGCGCAGAGACGGGUGGUGCAUGGCUGUCGUCAGCUCGUGUCGUGAGAUGUUGGGUUAAGUCCCGCAACGAGCGCAACCCACGUCUUUAGUUGCCAGCAUUGAGUUGGGCACUCUAGAGAGACCGCCGGUGAUAAACCGGAGGAAGGUGUGGAUGACGUCAAGUCAUCAUGCCCCUUACAUCCUGGGCUACACACGUACUACAAUGCUACGGACAGAGGGCAGCAAACUCGCGAGAGCUAGCAAAUCCCAUAAACCGUGGCUCAGUUCAGAUCGUAGGCUGCAACUCGCCUACGUGAAGGAGGAAUCGCUAGUAAUCGCAGGUCAGCAUACUGCGGUGAAUACGUUCCCGGGCCUUGUACACACCGCCCGUCACACCAUGGAAGUUGGCCAUGCCCGAAGUCGUUACUCCAACCCUUGUGGAGGAGGACGCCGAAGGUGGGGCUGAUGACUGGGGUGAAGUCGAAACAAGGUA